rnacentral:rRNA from 1 species
GACGAACGCUGGCGGCGUGCUUAACACAUGCAAGUCGAACGGAAAGGCCCUGCUUUUGUGGGGUGCUCGCGUGGCGAACGGGUGAGUAACACGUGAGUAACCUGCCCUUGACUUUGGGAUAACUUCAGGAAGCUGGGGCUAAUACCGGAUAGGAGCUCCUGCUGCAUGGUGGGGGUUGGAAAGUUUCGGCGGUUGGGGAUGGACUCGCGGCUUAUCAGCUUGUUGGUGGGGUAGUGGCUUACCAAGGCUUUGACGGGUAGCCGGCCUGAGAGGGUGACCGGCCACAUUGGGACUGAGAUACGGCCCAGACUCCUACGGGAGGCAGCAGUGGGGAAUAUUGCACAAUGGGCGGAAGCCUGAUGCAGCAACGCCGCGUGCGGGAUGACGGCCUUCGGGUUGUAAACCGCUUUCGCCUGUGACGAAGCGUGAGUGACGGUAAUGGGUAAAGAAGCACCGGCUAACUACGUG